rnacentral:rRNA from 1 species
AGUGAACGCUGGCGGUAGGCCUAACACAUGCAAGUCGAACGGCAGCACAGUAAUAGCUUGCUCUUACGGGUGGCGAGUGGCGGACGGGUGAGGAAUACAUCGGAAUCUACUUUUUCGUGGGGGAUAACGAAGGGAAACUUACGCUAAUACCGCAUACGUCCUACGGGUGAAAGCAGGGGAUCUUCGGACCUUGCGCGAUUGAAUGAGCCGAUGUCGGAUUAGCUAGUUGGCGGGGUAAAGGCCCACCAAGGGGACGAUCCGUAGCUGGGCUGGGAGGGUGAUCAGCCACGCUGGAGCUGACAGCCGGUUCAGGCUCCUACGGGAGGCAGCAGUGGUGAAUAUUGGAAAAUGGGCGCAAGCCUGAUCCAGCCAUACCGCGUGGGUGAAGAAGGCCUUCGGGUGGUAAAGCGCUUUUGUGGGGAAAGAAAAGCAGCAGGUUAAUACCGCGCUGUUUUACCGGUACCCGAAGAGUAGGCACCGGCUACCUUCGU